ACACACACACACACACACACACACACACACACACCCCAUGUUGGUAACAGAGGCACUGUGUGUGUGUCUGUGUGUGUGUGUGUGUGUGUGUGUGUGUGU
rnacentral:miRNA from 1 species